GUUCAUGCACAAUCCACACAGCCAGGAAAGACGCAAGCACCGACGCCCCCGUCUUCCUCACACUGCAGUAGUUCAGCAGGUCCUAUUCUGCCUACCCGCAUCUGUACUUCUAUUAUGUAAAAGUAAUAUUCCCCGAUGUCCUCGCCCACCCUUGUUUUUCCUUGCCGGCCGCAUCUUACAAGUUACAACACCAAUGGACCACAUCCUCAUUGAUGAUUUUACCUGCCUGCGUAGCUGCACAUAUUGAUUUAAUACCUAAGAUUUCCUAUUUUACGCGCAUCACUGAAGGGAACCGUUUAACUGACACAUAAGUUUUUUGUUGAAAUAAAUGCAGGAUUCUUCUACCCCAAACGAUGAACAAGAGAUGAUUUCUGCACAGAGACAACAAGUUCAGAACCUGUAUGGUAUUUUGCUUAGUGUGUCCCCUGCUUUGUCUCUCUCUCUCUCUCUCUACGUAAAUAUUGUGCUCAUGUUUUUGUAUAUAAUGCAGGUUUGCUAAGGAAAUGACCAUAAUUUCGUGGUCAACCAAAAAGGCAUCUAUUCUUCAUCCCUUGAUCUCCCAGCUAGAGUUGGGGUAACCAAUUCUUAGUUUUUAAUUCAUGAUGGUUCUAAUUCACUUACAUUCAAGCCUCAUAAUGCUACUUUUAAGCCUCAUAACAAUCAGUUAAGUGUAAGACAAAAACCAUGUAGAAAAGCCAGUUCAACAACCUUUUUCACCAAGCUUAUACUUGAAUGGGCUGAUGCAUGUAGAUGUGAUAUGUAAUUUUAGUAAGAUGGGAACAUGACGAUUGAUGUUUCAAGUGAUGAUAAUGCAUAGGGACUGGAGGCGUGGUUUGAGGCGGCAGUUAACCGUACAAUUUUCACGAAGAAGAGUCCUUAUCUCUGCUUGGGGUGACGCUGCAAGAUCAGACGGAAACAUGACUUAUUAUGGUAGGCUCAGUCUCGUAUGUUCUUUUACCCCGCAGCUAAUCAAUUAUUCUGUGAUGUCCUCUCUUGUAUUCUAAUUAUGGCAUGCUCUUGUCUAUACUAAUUAGAUCAUGCAUUCAUUCAAGGUCAAGUCAGGGGCUCAGGGUAGACAGUUCAUAGUUUUCUUGCUGUUUCGUCUUUCUGCUGUUAGUUCAUUAUGCACGUCUUCUUUCUAUGCAUGUGUUGAUAACUCCAGUUGUUCCAAUCUGAUGAUGCUUUUUUUCGUGUUGUUGCUUCUGUAGGUUCUGAGAAUUUUACAUGGAUCAGGAAAUUCUAAUGUUUGACUUUGUAGUACUCAGGUAACAAUGACGUUUUGUGUAAUGUAGAUUAUUUAAAGAUUAUUGAUUUGAUAGCACUGAGAUUUCUCCUAAUACACCAUAGCAAGCAUGACUAAUAAAUCGUCCCAAAAAUGGGUAGUACAGGAGUGAUGUGCCCCAAAGCUAAUUAGUGUAGAGACCAUUGGAAAAUAGAAAUAUUGAAUUAUGUAUAGUUGGUAUAACUAGUCACCUAGAAUACUUAUCAUUUAGUCGGUUGCUGAAUUCAUCUCACUAUUAAUAUUAAUAUAAUUUUGGAUAAUUUUUGGUAGUAAACACAAGCAGAUGGUUGUUCACAAUGAAUAGCUACGUAUGAUUGGUCAAAGGUACUCGGUGUUUUAAUACAUAGUUUUUAUCUUAAAGAGCCAUGGGUAUUCAGAACAUGUGCAUGACAAUUAAGAGAGAAAUAGAAUGUCCUCGGUUUACAAAGUAAGGGUGAAGACCCGGAGUCUCUGUGUUUGUACUUCAUAGCAUGGCAAUCACCCUUUCGCUAGUGCGUAUUUUGUUAUUUCUUUACAGAGCGAUGCUACUGAUGUUGCAAGUAUCUGCACUUUCCACUUCUGCAUUUUGGUCUUUUUUAUAAAAAAAUAGACUGGAACACUAAAACUAUAUAAUGAUAGUUCAUAUAGUUUUGAAUUUAUGCGAGAUGCAAAAAAAGUUAGUACAUGGAUAUAGGGCAUAAUCAUGUUGUUUAAUAAUUGUUGUAGAUGUUUUUAUAACCAGAUUAUUAAUUAUCCCACCUCUAUGUACAAAUCUAAGUUUUGGUAAAAAACAUUUGUACGGUGCUCCUUUAAAUUUUACUUCUAUAUUAAUCUAAUUUACUUUACUAUAAUUUCUCGCCUCAUAUUGUUAUUUUGUAGAUUACCAAGAUAAAUUGAGGAUGCAUGACUCAGAUUUUGAUUGCAAGGCUAAGAAGAUUUUGAUUCCGAGGCAAAUAAUUUGGCUACAAGUCAAUUAGAAUGUAAUUUUUAGUAUCAAUGUUACAAACAUUAUAGUUGAUGGCAAGGUCAAGAAUUGGCCUACUACUAGAUAGUUUCACCUCUUGUAAUCUUUGGACCAUGUUCUUUGUAAUGCCACAUAUUUUAUUUAAUAUAUGAGACUGGAUUGUUU
rnacentral:lncRNA from 1 species